CAAUAGCGUAUAUUUAAGUUGUUGCAGUUAAAAGCUCGUAGUCGGAUUUUGGCUGAGAACGAUCGGUCCGCCGUUAGGUGUGCACUGAUUGGUCUCAGCCUCCUGGUGAGGAGGUGUGCUUCACGGCCACUUAGUCACCGUGGUUACUUUGAAAAAAUUAGAGUGUUCAAAGCGGGCUUACGCUUGAAUAUAUUAGCAUGGAAUAACACCAUAGGACUCCUGUCCUAUUUCGUUGGUCACGGGACGGGAGUAAUGAUUAAGAGGAACAGUUGGGGGCAUUCGUAUUUCAUUGUCAGAGGUGAAAUUCUUGGAUUUAUGAAAGACGAACUUCUGCGAAAGCAUUUGCCAAGGACGUUUUCAUUGA
rnacentral:rRNA from 1 species